rnacentral:rRNA from 1 species
GAUGAACGCUGGCGGCGUGCCUAAUACAUGCAAGUCGAGCGAACAGACGAGGAGCUUGCUCCUCUGACGUUAGCGGCGGACGGGUGAGUAACACGUGGAUAACCUACCUAUAAGACUGGGAUAACUUCGGGAAACCGGAGCUAAUACCGGAUAAUAUAUUGAACCGCAUGGUUCAAUAGUGAAAGACGGUUUUGCUGUCACUUAUAGAUGGAUCCGCGCCGCAUUAGCUAGUUGGUAAGGUAACGGCUUACCAAGGCGACGAUGCGUAGCCGACCUGAGAGGGGGAUCGGCCACACGGGAACUGAGACACGGUCAAGACGCCUACGGGAGGCAGCAGUAGGGAAUCUUCCGCAAUGGGCGAAAGCCUGACGGAGCAACGCCGCGUGAGUGAUGAAGGUCUUCGGAUCGUAAAACUCUGUUAUUAGGGAAGAACAAAUGUGUAAGUAACUAUGCACGUCUUGACGGUACCUAAUCAGAAAGCCACGGCUAACUACGUG